GCCUGGCUGGCUCAGUCAGUAGAGCAUGGAACUCUUGACCUCAGGAUCAUGAGUUUAAGUCCCAUGUUGGGUG
rnacentral:tRNA from 1 species